CCCUUAGAUGUUCUGGGCCGCACGCGUGCUACACUGAGUGGAUCAGCGGGUCAGGUUGCGCGAAAGCGUUUCCUAAUCUUGAAAUCCGCUCGUGAUGGGGAUUGACGGUUGCAAUUUUCUGUCAUGAACGAGGAAUACCUUGUAAGCGCGAGUCAUCAUCCCGCGCUGAUUACGUCCCUGCCCUUUGUACACACCGCCCGUCGCUCCUACCGAUUGAGUGGUCCGGUGAGGCUUUGGGAUCUGAGCGGAAAGAGCGUUUCGCUCGUUCUGCCCGGAAAACUCAGUCGAACCUUAUCAUUUAGAGGAAGGAGAAGUCGUAACA
rnacentral:rRNA from 1 species